CUUGAAUCCUAUAAGAGGUCCAGCCUGCCCAGUGACUUUGUUCAACGGCCGCGGUAUCCUAACCGUGCGAAGGUAGCGUAAUCACUUGUUCUUUAAAUGAGGACUAGUAUGAAUGGCACCACGAAGGUUAUACUGUCUCCUUUCUUUAAUCAGUGAAACUAAUCUCCCCGUGAAGAAGCGGGGAUAAGCCUAUAAGACGAGAAGACCCUAUGGAGCUUUAAACAUAAGUAACAACUGCCCAUUAAAUUUUUUAAUCUCAGGAAAUUAAUCACAACACUUAGGCACUUUGAUUACAAGUUUUAGGUUGGGGUGACCGCGGAGCAAAAAAUAACCUCCGCAGUGAAUGGAACUUAUCUCCUAAACCCAGGGCUACGACCCUAAGAAUCAAUAAAUUGACACUGAUUGACCCAAUAUUUUUGAUCAAUGAAC
rnacentral:rRNA from 1 species